rnacentral:rRNA from 1 species
UACGGGAGGCAGCAGUGGGGAAUAUUGCACAAUGGGCGCAAGCCUGAUGCAGCCAUGCCGCGUGUAUGAAAAAGGCCUUCGGGUUGUAAAGUACUUUCAGUCGUGAGGAAGGUGUUAAGGUUAAUAACCUUAGCAAUUGACGUUAGCGACAGAAGAAGCACCGGCUAACUCCGUGCCAGCAGCCGCGGUAAUACGGAGGGUGCGAGCGUUAAUCGGAAUUACUGGGCGUAAAGGGCACGCAGGCGGUUAAUUAAGUUGGAUGUGAAAUCCCCGGGCUUAACCUGGGAAUGGCAUUCAAGACUGGUUAGCUAGAGUCUUGUAGAGGGGGGUAGAAUUCCAUGUGUAGCGGUGAAAUGCGUAGAGAUGUGGAGGAAUACCGGUGGCGAAGGCGGCCCCUGGGACAAAGACUGACGCUCAUGUGCGAAAGCGUGGGGAGCAAACAGGGAUUAGAUACCCGU